UUUCAUUAUGUGCUUUAACUGUAGCUGACCAGUUGAUGGAAGAUACUGCAGAGUUUGGCAGGGAAAUAACCCAAGACAGCAAAGCGGCUCUUUUGGCGCAUUUACCAAGAGGACUAACAUGGCCACAAAUUCAUGAGAUCAUGCAGGAGCCCUACAGUAUAACAGCAGUACAAGUUCUAUAAAAGAUCCACGACCUACUGAAGCCCAGCUAAUUAACAAAAAAGUUUUUAAAAACUGUAAUUUUAUCCCACCUGGGUACUUAUAAUUUACUAAGCUGCCUAUACAAGUUUUAGAUUUGCAAUUAUAUUUUAAAUUGUCACUUGGAAAGUAAUACAUGUACAUCUAUUAUGUUCUGAAUUUCUUUGAACAAUAAAAUUAUAUAAAAGUAUUUUAAUGAAAUUAAGCACCUAAAUUGCAUUAAAGUGAAAGUAGCUGAGAACAAGAUGUGUUUGUGAAACACAAUGUCCCCCUAUAUGACGUUUGACCUUGAAGGAUGACCUUGACCUUGACCCUUCACCACUCAAAAUGUGCAGCUCCAUGAGAUACACAUGCAUGCCAAAUAUCAAGUUGCUAUCUUCAAUAUAGCAAAAGUUAUUGCAAAAUGUUAAAGUUGGUGCAAACCAACCAACCAACCAACAGACCAACCAACCAACAGACUAACCAACAGACAGGGCAAAAACAAUAUGUCCCCCACUACUAUAGUGGGGGACAUAAAAAUAUUAUCCUUGUGCUCAUGUUCAGCUACAUAUAUUGUGACAUACAUGAAGCAGCUAAAAAUAACUUAAAUUUUUCAUUUUGUUUCUUGUAUAUCGUUUGUACAGGGUUCGUGAAUUGUUACUGUAUAUUACUUGACUUGCUUGUAUUUUGUUACUUUGAAUACAUGUUGUGAAGGUUGCAUUAUACUUUUUAACUUUUAAAGGAGCGCUUGUUCUGUUAUGUAAGGGCCUGAUUUAUGAUUAUGGACCUAGAGGCUUUGUAAGCAUGUAUUAAACAACACUUGUUUGAUCUGAAUAAUUUGUUAAAUAAAUGUAACACAAUUUGUAAUCUGAUGUUAUAUUUUGAUGAAUUGUGAACAAAAUAAUACAUCGAAGAAACUAA